AAGACUAUAUUUUCAGGGAUCAUUCCUGAAGUGUGUUACUGAAGUUUCUCUGAAUGUGUAGGGUACCAGAAACCACAAGGAGGAGGCACAGCCUUCUCUCCUGAGCAUGAAGCCAGCUCUGGGUAUUAUUUCACUGCAACUGCCAUUUGCCAUUGAUACUCAUUUUUCUCUCAUUCUGGAGAGUAACAGGAAGAGAAUAUAAUCUGAGUGGU
rnacentral:snoRNA from 1 species